CGGAGGCGCUCAAAGGUUCCCUCAGAAUGGUUGGAAAUCAUUCACAGAGUGUAAAGGCAUAAGGGAGCUUGACUGCGAGACCUACAAGUCGAGCAGGGUCGAAAGACGGACUUAGUGAUCCGGUGGUUCCGCAUGGAAGGGCCAUCGCUCAACGGAUAAAAGCUACCCCGGGGAUAACAGGCUUAUCUCCCCCAAGAGUUCACAUCGACGGGGAGGUUUGGCACCUCGAUGUCGGCUCAUCGCAUCCUGGGGCUGUAGUCGGUCCCAAGGGUUGGGCUGUUCGCCCAUUAAAGCGGUACGCGAGCUGGGUUCAGAACGUCGUGAGACAGUUCGGUCCCUAUCCGUCGUGGGCGUAGGAAAUUUGAGAGGAGCUGUCCUUAGUACGAGAGGACCGGGAUGGACAUACCUCUGGUGUACCAGUUGUCGUGCCAACGGCAUAGCUGGGUAGCUAUGUAUGGACGGGAUAAGUGCUGAAAGCAUCUAAGCAUGAAGCCCCCCUCAAGAUGAGAUUUCCCAACUUCGGUUAUAAGAUCCCUCGAAGAUGACGAGGUUAAUAGGUUCGAGGUGGAAGCGUGGUGACACGUGGAGCUGACGAAUACUAAUCGAUCGAAGACUUAAUCAAU
rnacentral:rRNA from 1 species